GCCUGUCUAGCUCAGUUGGUAGACCGCAAGGCUCUUAAUCUUAACCUUGUGGUCGUGGGUUCGAGCUCCACGGUGCGCG
rnacentral:tRNA from 1 species